rnacentral:rRNA from 1 species
UACGGGGGGGGCAAGCGUUGUUCGGAAUUACUGGGCGUAAAGGGCUCGUAGGCGGCCAACUAAGUCAAACGUGAAAUCCCUCGGCUUAACCGGGGAACUGCGUCUGAUACUGGAUGGCUUGAGUUUGGGAGAGGGAUGCGGAAUUCCAGGUGUAGCGGUGAAAUGCGUAGAUAUCUGGAGGAACACCGGUGGCGAAGGCGGCAUCCUGGACCGGCAUUGACGCUGAGGAGCGAAAGCCAGGGGAGCAAACGGG